GGGGGUGUGUCUUAGUUGGUAGAGUGCUUGCCUGACAUGCAAGAGAACCUGGGUUCACAACCCAGCAUCUCAC
rnacentral:tRNA from 1 species